rnacentral:lncRNA from 1 species
ACGUGGCUAUCUUUAUUUGAUACCUUGGUCUUUAUGAUGUCUGGAUAUUGCUUAUUGUUUAUUGGUUGAUCAAAGUCCAAAGGAAAAUUGGUUUCUAUAUGACAUUCUUGUAUGUUGGACUGCAUCCCAUUGGUCAGAUCUUUUCAACUCUUAACUUUUAAUUUUUGCUUAGGAUAGUCUCUUCAUCUCCUCCCACUUCUUAAAUUUCAAAAUC